GAUGAACGCUGGCGGCGUGCUUAACACAUGCAAGUCGAACGGAAAGGCCAGUGCUUGCCCUGGUACUCGAGUGGCGAACGGGUGAGUAACACGUGGGUGAUCUGCCCUGCACUUCGGGAUAAGCCUGGGAAGCUGGGUCUAAUACCGGAUAGGACAAUGGUUUGGAUGCCGUUGUGGAAAGUUUUUUCGGUGUGGGAUGAGCUCGCGGCCUAUCAGCUUGUUGGUGGGGUAAUGGCCUACCAAGGCGUCGACGGGUAGCCGGCCUGAGAGGGUGUACGGCCACAUUGGGACUGAGAUACGGCCCAGACUCCUACGGGAGGCAGCAGUGGGGAAUAUUGCACAAUGGGCGCAAGCCUGAUGCAGCGACGCCGCGUGGGGGAUGACGGCCUUCGGGUUGUAAACUCCUUUCGCUAGGGACGAAGCGUAUUUGUGACGGUACCUGGAGAAGAAGCACCGGCUAACUACGUG
rnacentral:rRNA from 1 species